rnacentral:lncRNA from 1 species
ACUUCCGCGGCAAGAGGUUGAGAGCGCGGCCUUCAUUCCUCUCGUGGAAGAAAGGAGGCUGUUCUUGGACUAUGCCUGACCCGUUUUUUAAGAAAGAGUGCAUCACUCAACAGGUGGCGUCUGGAGUUAUCCUCUGUGGAUUUUCCAGGAUCUCAGACAAGAUCGUGCAAUCUCCCAGCCUCCUUUCCUUCCCCUGCCCUGACUUCUGAAAGAAUGCUGCGGGAGAGGAGGAAGGAGAGCAUCCUGGCUUCUGGCAGCAGAGCCCCACUGUGACAGGACCUAGCAUUCACCUUCCUCUUCUGUUCCGAGUGCGAGAAGACUUCAGGGACCUCUGUUUCAUGGACAUUAUCAUAUUCUUCUCAAGAGUACCCAGCAAGAGGUUUGCAAAGAGGAGUUAUUCAGUGAAGACGGGGUUUCACCAUCUUGGCUAGGCUGGUCUUGAAUUCCUGACCUCGUGAUCCACCCGCCUGGGCCUCCCAAAGUGCUGGGAUUACAUGCGUGAGCCACCGUGCCCAGCCUCAAAGCAGCAAAAAUGGACUAAGACAUCACUUGAACUGGCAGGAGGUGG